CCUACGGGGGGCUGCAGUGAGGAAUAUUGGUCAAUGGCCGGAAGGCUGAACCAGCCAUGCCGCGUGAAGGUCAGUGCCCUAUGGGCGUUAAACUUCUUUUGUGCGGGAGCAAUAAUGGUCACGUGUGGCCAGACGAGAGUACCGUACGAAUAAGCAUCGGCUAACUCCGUGCCAGCAGCCGCGGUAAUACGGGGGAUGGAAGCGUUAUCCGGAUUCAUGGGGUUUAAAGGUUGCGUAGGCUGUGAGGUAAUGCAGCGUGUAAAUGCCCCCGCUCAACGGGGUGAAGUGCCAUUGAUACUGGCUAGCUGGAAUGCGGAUGCGGGGGGAGGAAUGUGUGGUGGAGCGGUGAAAUGCAUAGAUAUCA
rnacentral:rRNA from 1 species